GUUUCUAUGGUGUAAAUGCACAUUAGAUUUUCAUUCUAAAGGAAUAAAGCUAUUUAUUAGAAAUA
rnacentral:tRNA from 1 species